AAGUCGUAACAAGGUUUCCGUAGGUGAACCUGCGGAAGGAUCAUUCACAAUAAGUGUUUAUGGCACUUUCAAAUCCAUACCCACCUUGUGUGCAAUGUAAGAGCCCUUUCCAAACCCCCCCUUCUCUGGGGGGGGGGAAGACUGGGCUUCAUUUUCUUCUCACACGUCUUCAAUUGCAAGUCUAACAUUCAGAGUAAUCAAAACUCGAAUACAACUUUCAACAACGGAUCUCUUGGCUCUC
rnacentral:misc_RNA from 1 species